AUUGAACGCUGGCGGCAUGCUUUACACAUGCAAGUCGAACGGUAACAGGCCGCCAGGUGCUGACGAGUGGCGAACGGGCGAGUAAUGCAUCGGAACGCGCCCAGCCGUGGGGGAUAACUACUCGAAAGAGUAGCUAAUACCGCAUACGAUCUAAGGAUGAAAGCGGGGGACCGUAAGGCCUAGCGCGAUUGGAGCGGCCGAUGUCAGAUUAGGUAGAGGGUGGGGUAAAGGCUCACGAAGCCAACGAUCUGUAGCUGGUCUGAGAGGACGACCAGCCACACUGGGACUGGGCCGCCCCCCAGACUCCUACGGGAGGCAGCAGUCGGGAAUUUUGGACAGUGGUCGCAAACCUUAUCCAGCAAUGCCGCGUGCAGGAAGACGGCCUUCGGUUUGUAAACUGCUUUUGUACGUAACGAACCUGCUCUGGUUAGUACCCGGGGCUAAUGACGGUACCGUAAGAAUAAGCACCGGCUAACUACGUG
rnacentral:rRNA from 1 species